rnacentral:rRNA from 1 species
GAUGAACGCUAGCGGCAGGCCUAACACAUGCAAGUCGAGGGGUAUAGUAGCAAUACUAGAGACCGGCGCACGGGUGCGUAACGCGUAUGCAAUCUACCUUUUACAGGGGAAUAGCCCAGAGAAAUUUGGAUUAAUGCCCCAUGGUAUAUAUGAAUCGCAUGGUUUAUAUAUUAAAGUUCCAACGGUAGAAGAUGAGCAUG